GAAGCCAGAUCGAUCCUCCACAUUCACAGCCACCAAGGGGCAGAGGCCAGCCUUCUGGAGGCCCCAAGCCUCGAGCCAUUAAGUCAUGAUGCCUCUCAGAAAACACAGAUAGCACUUGUUCUUCAAUUCCCUGUUUCUCCCGGUCUGUCUGUCCCUCUGCCUGUCUCUGUCUGUCUCUCUGCCUGUCUCUGUCUGUCCCUCUGCCUGUCUCUGUCUCUGUCUGUCUCUCUGCUUGUCUCUGUCUGUCUCUCUGCUUGUCUCUGUCUCUGUCUGUCUCUCUGCCUCUGCCUCUGUCUCUGUCUCUAUCUCUAUCUCUCCCUGUCUCUCUGUUUAUCCCUCUGCCUCUGUCUUUGUCUCUCUGCCUCUGCCUCUGCCUCUGUCUCUAUCUCUCUGCCUCUGCCUCUGUCUCUGUCUCUAUCUCUCCCUGUCUCUCUGUCUAUCCCUCUGCCUCUGCCUCUGUCUCUCUGCCUGUCUCUGUCUGUCUCUCUGCUUGUCUCUGUCUCUGUCUGUCUCUCUGCUUGUCUCUGUCUCUGUCUGUCUCUCUGCCUCUGCCUCUGCCUCCGUCUCUGUCUCUAUCUCUCCCUGUCUCUCUGUCUAUCCCUCUGCCUCUGUCUCUGUCUCUCUGCCUCUGCCUCUGCCUCUGUCUCUAUCUCUGUCUCUAUCUCUCCCUGUCUCUCUGUCUGUCUCUCUGCCUCUGCCUCUGUCUCUCUGCCUCUGUCUCUGUCUCUCUGCCUCUGCCUCUGCCUCUGUCUCUAUCUCUCCCUGUCUCUCUGCCUCUGUCUCUCUGCCUCUGCCUCUGUCUCUGUCUCUAUCUCUCUGCCUCUGCCUCUGCCUCUGCCUCUGUCUCUGUCUCUAUCUCUCCCUGUCUCUCUGCCUCUGUCUCUGUCUCUAUCUCUCUGCCUCUGCCUCUGCCUCUGCCUCUGCCUCUGUCUCUGUCUCUAUCUCUCCCUGUCUCUCUGCCUCUGUCUCUGUCUCUAUCUCUCUGCCUCUGCCUCUGCCUCUGCCUCUGCCUCUGUCUCUGUCUCUAUCUCUCCCUGUCUCUCUGUCUAUCCCUCUGCUUCUGUUUGUCUCCUUCUCUUCCUCUGUCUCUGUUUCUAUUUCUAUCGCUAUCCCUCUCCCUCUCUCUGCCUCCCUCCCUGUCUGACCACCCCACCAUCUCUUGUCCACAAACCUUGUCAGUGGCCCCCUUGGAUGAGAGGCUGCGUUCCCUGA
rnacentral:lncRNA from 1 species